rnacentral:rRNA from 1 species
AAUGAACGCUGGCGGCAUGCCUUACACAUGCAAGUCGAACGGCAGCAUGACCUAGCUUGCUAGGUUGAUGGCGAGUGGCGCACGGGUGAGUAAUGCAUCGGAACGUGCCUUUUAGUGGGGGAUAACGUAGCGAAAGUUACGCUAAUACCGCAUAUUCUCUGAGGAGGAAAGCAGGGGGCCUUCGGGCCUUGCGCUAGAAGAGCGGCCGAUGUCGGAUUAGCUAGUUGGUGAGGUAAAGGCUCACCAAGGCAACGAUCCGUAGCGGGUCUGAGAGGAUGAUCCGCCACACUGGGAAUGAGACACGGCCCAGACUCCUACGGGAGGCAGCAGUGGGGAAUUUUGGACAAUGGGCGCAAGCCUGAUCCAGCCAUGCCGCGUGAGUGAAGAAGGCCUUCGGGUUGUAAAGCUCUUUCGGCUGGGAAGAAAUCGCACUCUCUAAUACAGGGUGUGGAUGACGGUACCAGCAGAAGAAGCACCGGCUAACUACGUG